AGUUUGCUUUGUGGAAGCUUGGAAUUUCAGCGGCGCAUGGCCUACUUCUUGAGGUUUGUGUUGGCAUAAUGGGUGGGUUGGGUCAUGAAUCUAAACCUGUAACUUUAGUAUGGGGCUAUGGGCUGAAACUGGCCAGUUUAUGGUUGAGCCGACCUACUUCUUGAAGCGUUGAGUGGAGAACUUUGGGAGAUGAAAUGGAUGGUUUUGGUGAGGGGCGUUUGGCUUAUGUGAUGACUUUGCCGUGGACGGAUGUGGCUUGACAUGUUUGGUUUGGGUCGCGAGGUUGAUUUUGGUGGCUUCAUCUUUGUUUUUAAAUACUCUCAUUGUCACUAAGAUCUCUUGCUGUAUGUACAAAAAUCUGCUAUGGAAUUACAAUCACUUUAAGUGCC